rnacentral:rRNA from 1 species
GAUGAACGCUGGCGGCGUGCUUAACACAUGCAAGUCGAACGGAGCACCCCUGAUUGAGACUUCGGUUGAUUGAUGGGAAUGCUUAGUGGCGGACGGGUGAGUAACGCGUGAGCAAUCUGCCCUUAAGUGGGGGACAACAGUUGGAAACGACUGCUAAUACCGCAUAAUGUAUUUUUAUCGCAUGAUUUAAAUACCAAAGGAGAAAUCCGCUUUUGGAUGAGCUCGCGUCUGAUUAGCUAGUUGGUGGGUAACGGCCUACCAAGGCGACGAUCAGUAGCCGGACUGAGAGGUUGAACGGCCACAAGGGGACUGAGACACGGCCCUU